UACAGAGGAGCCAAGCGUUGUCCGGAUUGACUGGGCGUAAAGCGCACGCAGGCGGAUGCGCGCGUGGGGUGUGAAAUCUGGCCGCUUAACGGCCAGGCGCCAUCCCAUACGGCGCGUCUGGAGUGAUGCAGAGGUCGAUGGAAUUGCCGGUGUAGUGGUGAAAUGCGUAGAGAUCGGCAGGAACACCCAGGGGGAAACCAGUCGACUGGGCAUCUACUGACGCUGAGGUGCGAGAGCGUGGGGAGCAAACCGG
rnacentral:rRNA from 1 species